UUAAAUUCCGAUCGAGCAUCGAAUCGAAUGAAGUAGGUUUAAGUUGAAUUUCAAAAACAAAUUAAAGUUCAACAAUAACAAAUCAGAUUGAAAAGUGGUUAUCUCUUUUGACGGAGUUUUCAUGCAAUUCAACCUCGUUUCAUCAAUUGAGCAAAAAAGUUGUCAACUUGAGAACAUAAUAUGAAUAUUGCUAAGGCAUGGAAUUUGUUCGACUUUGGAAUGGAAUAGAGAAAACCGCAACACAAAUGGGGCUGCACACCAAUGCCGAAAGCAAGCUUAUUAAAGUCAGAGUUUCCAAGAAAACUCCAGCCUAGUUUCAACAAUGGAGAAACAUAUCAUUCAUGCUCUCCUUCUCCUGUACAAUUUUAUGUAAUGACAAAAAUCAACCAUGAUUGAUGCAACAAAAAUAUUGAGUUAGGAUGGGAGAAUAUAUGUAGAACAGAGAAGAAUAUGACAUUAGAGUGUUCUACACCAACUAUAGAAGAAUAAUUGUAUCCAGCAAGUGCUUCAUGCGCCUUCAAAAGUACCGAUUGUAAGUAUUUUACUUGAGCAUCAGUUCUAAAUUGUAAAUUUUUGUGACCUGAAGAAAUCAUGUUCCAAAUUGGUUAACAUGUCCUUAUGCAUCAGUUACAAUCUAGAUAGGAAUAGUAUUGAUCGUCAUUUGUAAAUGCCAAUGUUGGCAUUUCCAUUUUUUUUUUUUUUUUUUGAAAAAGCUAAAAUGGAAUUAAACUCAACAAGAGUGAUUCACCACGCACAAGGAGUGCAAAUGAGAACCACUCAAAAGAAAUACAAAGUUAAAUGUCUGUUGGCAAAAAACACAAUAAAGAGAUAUCAACAAAAAAAGAACUAAAUCCUAAACCCAUACAUAAUAAAGGGUGCCGCCACCAGUCAGUGUAACUGUUGGCAUUUCCAUUUCUAUAUUUUAUCAUUAACAAAAAACCAAACUCAAACUCUAUAUUUUAUCAUUAACAUAAUUUCAAAUGGGAAAAUACCUGUAAAUGGUUAUUGAGAUGGUACAUAGUGAGUCCUGGAGUCACCAUCACCCUCAUUAGAUUCUUUAAUGUUGCAUUUGCCACCUAUGCAUAGUGGGAAAAUAUAUCAAUUAGUACUUAAGAUAUGAUCUAAAUUAAUUUGAUCUCAAAAUUUUAAAAUAAAUACGUCUGGUAAUGCAACAAAGAUGCCUCCAAAUUCCAAUUUUGCAGAAUUUUUUUGCUACACUAUUUUUAUUUUUUUUUAACAAACAAAAUGAUAUAUAUUAAUAACAUCGGUAAAAACACCCUGCACAAAGGUGUGCAAAUAAGUGGUUCACCGAGCAAAGUUUACAAAAUCAAAGAGCCAGAACAAACAGAAAGGCACAAAACAAAUCUAUUCUAGUGAUUAGUGAAGCCUAGACAUAGCAAUGGGUGUUUCCACCAAUCAUAAUAACAAUAGCUAAAAGAUGGAUGUUUUGCCUUCACUCACAAAAAAGAAUGUAAUUUUACUUUCUCGACAAGAGCAUAAGGAUGUGUAAGCGCAUCUUUAAAAAUACGUUCAUUCCGCGCCUUCCAAAUGAUCCAAACAAAUGCAAACCAAAUACCAGUAAAAAAAGAUUGUGUGUACCGUGGUAAUCCAGCCAUAUGAGAAAACUGAUAAAGAUGGUCGCGGAGAUCCAAAGGAAACACCAUAUAAAUACCUAACCAACUCGUAACCACUAUGUUUACACCUUUGUUGUAGAUUGCAUUAAGAUUAGAAGAUUCAAGUUUUCUUUCACUGUGUAAUCAUCUUCCCUUUCAUAAUAAAAAUUAACUUUUGUGAAAUAUAUUAAUUCUUGUAUUCUUUUGGUGUGCAUUCAUGUUGCUGAUGUGGUUUCUUCAUGAGGAAUGCUUGCAGAAUGAGAAUCUAAUUAAAUUUAAAGUCUCCUAUUCCUUCACAUUUGUUGCAUUCUUAAGAGGCUAUACUAUGCAUUCUUUACUUAUAUUAGUCACAUCUAAAUCUAUCCAUUCUUUAAACAUCCCCUUUAAAAUCCUAAUAGUCGCAUCUCCACCUAUGCAUUCUUUAAACAUAUUAAUUUACUUUGUUGCAAGUUUUUCUGCAAAGUUAGGAUACAUCAUGCAUAUUGUUUUAGCAAAGCACAGUCAUAUAUAAGAAUAGGACUACAAUAAACUUAAUGGAAUAAACUACUAUAUAUUAUUUUAUUUUUUUAGCGUCUCUUAUGCAUUCAACUGAUUGCUCUUUUUAUUUUAUUUUAUUUUAUUUUAUAUUAUGCACAUUUCCAAGCCAAUCAUCGAGUGGGGCAUGAUGAGAGGCAACCAUUACCUCUACCUAGAUCAACCUAAUGUAAGCUUUUUUUCCUCCAUUUUAAUUAAGUUGCUUCUACUAUUUUCAUAUAUGUAAUGUGAUAUUUUGUUAACAUGCUAAUUGCGUUUUCUUCUCUAAUCAAUUUGCACUGUUUAGUUUUCAGUAUUAUAGCCUAAGCGGUUCUAAUAGAUGUGAUGAGACAAAAGGCUAAUUAGCAUAGUCUUGAGUUGAGAAUAAUGUAAUUGGGACAACUUUUGCACCUUUAGAGCAGCACUAAAAUAAAGAGUUUCUAUCUAAUAAGCAUAACCAACUAUUUCUAAGAAAGAAAAAAAGUUGUGGUUUGAAUGAAUAUAUAUGUUUGAAGAAUGCAUAGGGGUUUCCCUAAUAAAGUCUCCUUUCCAUAUACUUGCUAUACAACUUAGAAAUUCUUAAAAGCUAGGUGUAGAUGUGACUUGUGAGCCUCUUAAUGGUGAAUACAGAAAGAAUUUUCAAUACUAUUCUGUUUUUAAUAAAUCUUACACCUGCCUCUUCAUUAAGAUGUUAUAUCAUUUGUAAAAAUGAAGAGGGUGAUAUAUAUCAUUUGGUUUCAUAAUGAGGGCAUCCAAUUGUAAAAAUGAAGAGGAUGAUAUAUAUUUAAUGAAUACCAUAAAAUGAUGUAUAACAUAAAUUUGACGAAUACUUUUGAAUAUGUGAAAAUAAAGAAUGAAAAAGUUAAAAAGUGAAUAGCAGUUGUUGUUUUUAGCUAUAGUUAUGUUUGUUCAUAUGCUGCAGUUAAGCAUAGCAUGAUUUAGUGAAACAAAUCCAGCUUUGUCUAUGAUUCAAUGAAUACCAUAAAAUAUAUAACAAAAAUUUUAUGAAUACAUUUGCAUAUGUGAAAGUAAAAGAAUGAAGAGGUUAAAUAGUGUAGUUGGCAGUAGUGACAAUCUCUGUUAAUGCUCGAGUCCCAUAAGGUCAUGGACCUUCUGAAGGUCUUGGUUUGCCGCCUUGACAUCCCAAUCACGAAGUGAUGGCCGCUUGUAUUUUCCUGUUAGAAAUGGGCUUUUCUUCCCCAUUUUCUCCAAGUAAUUAAUCUGCACAAUAAAAACAUGCACAUACAUAAAUUAAAAAUCCACCAUUUAGUUGUUUUAAAAAUACAAAUAUAUAUAUAUAUAUAUAUAUAGAAUGAUCACCAUUAGGAAGUGGAAGUCCGCUAAUGGAUUUGCAAUUUCCGGAGUUUGAAGGCCCUCUUUCAUAUACCCAAGAACAUGUGAGCACCAAUUAUAAUAUGAUACCCCAGCCGGAUCUUCUAAUAUGUACGCAUAUUGGAGAGAUACAAAGUUACUAUUAGUCGGGCACAAAAUUUUGUGAAUGAUAAAACAAAUUGCACCCUUCACCCAAGCUUUUGGUUUCUCUAGUGUCUUCAAUAUUCUUUCCAAAUCUGUCACCCUCACAGAAGCUGAAUAAUAUCCAUUCAGUCCCAAUUCUUUCCUCAAUUUCUUUAUUGCUUCCUCAGAGCAGAGAUCGACGUUAAUCUUCUUCCCUUCCAUUGGGAGCUCAUACACCCUAUGUACAUUUUCCUCUUUCAAUGGAAGCACCUCGGUCUUGCUUAAUACAAUGCACAUGUUCUCUUUGUGAAAGUUUCUAACAACCCAAUCCACAAAGAAAGUGUGGAUUCUUUUCCAGUUGCAGAUAUGCGUCAAUUAUCUCAUGUUUUCUUCUUUUGCCAUUUACUGAAUUCAUAAGCUCAUAUACCUUAGGUAUACUCAUCUUGUGCCUCAGUCUUUGCUUGACAUUUUCAUCAUUUGAACUUCCUUCAUCAGAAUCUUGUGCAACCAUUUGUUGUUUCUUUUUAUGAUUCUUCUUUUCUUUACCCUUAGACUUUCUUGUUUUUUUACCACCAUCAGA